rnacentral:rRNA from 1 species
AGCGAACGCUGGCGGCAGGCCUAACACAUGCAAGUCGAACGGACCCUUCGGGGUUAGUGGCGGACGGGUGAGUAACACGUGGGAACGUGCCUUUAGGUUUGGAAUAGCUCCUGGAAACGGGUGGUAAUGCCGAAUGUGCCCUUCGGGGGAAAGAUUUAUCGCCUUUAGAGCGGCCCGCGUCUGAUUAGCUAGUUGGUGAGGUAAUGGCUCACCAAGGCGACGAUCAGUAGCUGGUCUGAGAGGAUGACCAGCCACACUGGGACUGAGACACGGCCCAGACUCCUACGGGAGGCAGCAGUGGGGAAUCUUGCGCAAUGGGCGAAAGCCUGACGCAGCCAUGCCGCGUGAAUGAUGAAGGUCUUAGGAUUGUAAAAUACUUUCACCGGGGACGAUAAUGACGGUACCCGGAGAAGAAGCCCCGGCUAACUUCGUGCCAGCCGCCGCUGUAACAC